GGUGCCGCACACCUCUGCUCGUAUUUGGAGUACUGUUCUCAAGAUGUAUUCAAAGUUGUCUAACACCAAGAUUAUGAGCUUGCACGGAAGACUCGGAUCUCUCAAGAAAGGUGAGUUGUUUGUGCGUGAAUUCUCUACGUAAAUUAAAGAAAUAUGUGACUUGCUUGCAACAAGUGGUAGCCCUGUCACAGAAAUCGAUCAGAUUGUAACCUUGUUAAACGGUCUUCCGUGUGAUUUUGAGCCUUUUGUUGCUGCUAUAACGGUUAGUCGAGAACCUGAUACUUUUGAUAGGGUGACCUCGGUGCUUAUUGAUGCUGAAUCAUGUAUUAGUGAUCUUUUAAGGACGACAGCUAAUAUUAAUAUGACGAGGCACUAUGGAAAUUCUAGAGGUGGUAGUGACCGAUAUCAGAAUUACAAUCGGUCAAAUGAAUUUCAAGCCAAAAAUCAUAAUGGUAAUCAGAAUAAAGGUAGACCGCGACACCAAUGUCAGCUGUGUGGGAAGUUAAGGCACUUGGUAGAUCGUUGUUGGCAUCGAUUCAAUCAAAAUUACAAGGGGGUUUCUUCUCGACAGACCAAGAAUAACAAUGAAAUACAUGCUAAUGCUUGUAAAUAUGCUUCUAAUUUAGUUGUGUCAUGCGAUAAUCCUUUUGUGAGCUCUCCUGCAGGUCUCAAUGUUGUUGAUGAAGACACUACGAUUGAUACAGCUCAAGUAAAUUCGCUCAUAGCUAAAGGUUUUUUGUCUGUAGCAGAUAAAUGGUAUCCCGACUCUGGUGUGACACACCAUGUCACGUAUUAGAAGGGUGGUGGUGCAUCUAGUCGACCUUAUUCAGGCUACUUACUAAGGUAACUGAGGGAGUAUCCUCAUUUCAAAAGGUGUAUGGUAAGGUUUCGGACUAUCAAUUUCUUCGUGUUUUUGGGUGUUAGUGCUUUCCCUGCUUACGACCCUACGUCACAAGUUUGAGUUUCGAUUUAAACCUUGCAUUUUCCAUGGAUACUCUCAAAAAAAUCACGGGUAUCAAUGUCUUGAUAGCACGGGUCGUGUCUAUAUCUCUCGGGCAUGUUACGUUUGAUGAAAACAUUUUUCCUUGUUCUUUAGUUCAUACAGGGACCAAAAAGUCGGGUGAGCAAAAGACUUGGGCUAUACCUUUUCCUGUUGAAGCUAGCAAUUCAAAUCAGCAAUAUGGUGAGUGUGAUAUGCUUAAUGAUGAUGGUCUCCACAAGUUGCAUCAUGGUUCUGGUCAAGAUUUUAGCAGUGGUGCAAUUAGUGUUGCAUCUGAUGGUGAUGGAAGAUGUGUCACGAUGGAAACUUGGACAGAAUCUACUAGUAUAAACAUUGAGCAGUAAACAGCAAGACAGGGGGAACAGGUGGCUUCGGGUACUGGGUAGCGUAAAGAUGUGCAAAGUAGUCCUCUAGUGCCCUAUACGAAUCAACAACAAAGUGCUCAAAAUGAUGAGAUGAUCACUGGGGAACCCAACAUUCAAUCCAAUGUUGUGCCUAUUGAAGGGACAAUUGUUGUAAAAUAUUAGGCCAACAAUACUCACUGCAUGCUCAUACGUAGUAAGGCAGGGAUUUUCAAAUCUAAAAUCUACAAUACCUUGUUUCAUGAAACUCCUAUCACUAUGCAGGAUGCUUUAGAGCAUAAGCAUUGGUGAGUUGCUGUGGAGUCUGAGAUGAUGUUACUUGAUAAUAACACAAGGAAAUUGGUGACGUUACCCUUCGAUCAGAAGGCUAUCAGUUGCAAAUGGCUGUUUCAGAUCAAAUAUAAGUCUAAUGGUUCUGUUGAUCGAUUUAAAGCGAGACUUGUGGCAAAAGGUUUUUCUCAAGUUCCAGGGUUCCAGGGUUAGGCAAGUUGAAGUGAACAACGGUUUUCUCAAAAGAGACUUGCAGGAAGAAGUCUAUAUGAAACAAUCGGAAGGGUUUGAACAUGUUGAUCCUAAUGGUGAACAACUUGUGUGUAAGCUUCAAAAGCGUUGUAUGGUCUUCGACAAGCUCCAUGAAGUUGGUUCAAUAAACUACAUGUUUUCUUAUGUACCUUGGGGUUUUUCUCUUAGCAUGCUAAUAGUU